rnacentral:rRNA from 1 species
UACGUAGGGUGCGAGCGUUUAAUCGGAAUUACUGGGCGUAAAGAGUGCGUAGGCGGUUCUUGAAGUCCGCUGUGAAAGCCCCGGGCUUAACCUGGGAAUGGCAGUGGAAACUGGAGGACUUGAAUUGAGCAGAGGGGGGUGGAAUGCCGCGUGUAGCAGUGAAAUGCGUAGAGAUGCGGCGGAACACCGAUGGCGAAGGCAGCCCCCUGGGCUUAAAUUGACGCUGAGGCACGAAAGCGUGGGGAGCAAACAGG